rnacentral:lncRNA from 1 species
CAGAGCGUCUCGGACCGUCUGCCCGGGAUAGUUUGAAAUCGCGGUUUUGUUCGUCCCACUGGGGCUCCAAGAGGUUGAAGCUGCAGAUAAGAGAGAAGAUGCCUCAUGGAACAAAGUGCCCAGAGCAGUGGAAGAAAAUGAGAUUCUGAGUGAAUGUGAACAUGGAAAGAUUCGCUUGGAGAAGGAAGAUGCACCUCUUCCACUGAUCGGUGAACUUUCAGGUAAGAACAGAAGCAAAUGUAAGUUUGGACCAGAGUAGGGGAGAUUAAAGGAGUGCCGUCUCAUUGCCAUUGCUUUUUCUGGAGUGUAUGCAGGCAGGUCACUGCCUAGAGUGAAAAGAGUGGAGCUGCAGGGGAAGAUGGCAGUUGCAGUUUAAAUAGCCACUGGGGAAGACAGGUGACGGUCCAGGGAGGCUGGGCCAGCCAGGGGACAGGGGACAUGGCACAGCAUUGACAAGAAGACAGGAGAGCUGAUGGUGUGGGCUUGGAGAAGAUAGUGACAAGGACUGGAGUGUCACAGCACACUUUUGGUGAUGCUUGGGGUCUGAGCAAUGCCCCUUGAAGGGACCAGAUUUCCCCAGCUUCUUUGCUCCCUGAUAGGUUAGGUUUGCUGUCACAUGUGAGGGGCCAUCACCUUGCAAUGGUGACAGCAUUCAGAGUGGACAUACCACUGCAGAGAGCUGGAGCCAUGGAGACCAUUGUGACCUGGAGGCCAGAAUGUUAGGAAACAGAGUGGAACCUCAGAGAAAUCCAGAGUCAAGGGCGUGGGGUUAUCAGCCCAGCUCCUUAGUUAACAGCCGAGGAAACUGAAGCCCAGGGAGAUAAAGACAGAGGCAGAGGAGGAAUUCUUUCUUAGCAGAUCUUCUAUUCAUAAUUCAGGAUCAUUUCCAGGGCUCCCAGGUGAGAAAAUGGGGAGGGAGAAAACUGAAUGAAUCUCCUCUUAGAGUCACUGGCCUCCUAGGGGUGGGCUGUUGGUUGCACUCCUGGGCAUUUUGGCACAACUUUUAAUACAAAGGCUUCUCUUUUCUAGGAUCUCAGGAUGCUUGAAUCCUGGGACAAACAGA